rnacentral:rRNA from 1 species
UAGUAAUCGCGAAUCAGAAUGUCGCGGUGAAUACGUUCCCGGGCCUUGUACACACCGCCCGUCACACCAUGGGAGUGGGUUGUACCAGAAGUAGGUAGUUUAACCUUCGGGAGAACGCUUACCACGGUAUGGUUCAUGACUGGGGUGAAGUCGUAACAAGGUAGCCGUAGGGGAACCUGUGGCUGGAUCACCUCCUUA